AUUGAACGCUGGCGGCAGGCCUAACACAUGCAAGUCGAACGAGUGGCGGACGGGUGAGUAAUGUCUGGGAAACUGCCUGAUGGAGGGGGAUCACUCCUGGACACGGUCGCUAAUACCGCAUACACUCGGAUGUGCCCAGAUGGGAUUAGCUAGUAGGUGGGGUAAAGGCUCACCUAGGCGACGCUCCGUAGCUGGUCUGAGAGGAUGACCAGCCACACUGGAACUGAGACACGGUCCAUACUCCUACGGGAGGCAGCAGUGGGGAAUAUUGCACAAUGGGCGCAAGCAUGAUGCAGCCAUGCCGCGUGUAUGAAGAAGGCCUUCGGAUUGUAAAGCACUUUCAGUGGGGAGGCGUUACCCGCAGAAGAAGCACCGGCUAACUCCGUGCCAGCAGCCGCGGUAAUAC
rnacentral:rRNA from 1 species